CAGAUUUCAUUUAUACCACACACACACACACACACACAUCCUAUAUAGAAUAUACUGCAAAUGCAGCCAGUUUUUUUUUUCUGUUUUUUUAUUUUUAUUUAUUAUUUAUUAAUUUAUUUAUUUUUACUGAUAAUCUAGUGCCACACCUCUUGAAAAAAAUGUAUACUUCAUUCAGGAUAUGGCAUACAACAUUUAUAUGUAUGCCUCACAAUAAAGCUAUCGUAUAAUUUCAAAAGACUUGAAACAGUGUCUCAGUGACUGCUUUAAGAACACUGCUUUUCAGUUCAUACAGGUUCGGAACAAAAUGAGGUUCCGAUGUUAGAGAGUUGAUUUGUUUGCUGAACUGUUCCUUUAAGUAGAGGGCUGAAUUUUGGUUGACUGGUCAAGUCAUUUAUCCCCUGUGUUCUUCAUGGUUCCAUGGUCUCCUGACAGUGGACAAGUGGCGUCCAGUGGACACCUGCGAGGUCAACCUGAAAAACAUAUGAAUUUGCCGGCAGCUUAUUCAGAGAGAGACAAACUGAGGGAUACAAACAGAUGUUAGUUCUGUUCUCCCAGUAAGUAUGAUAUAUUUUGAUGGCAGGUAUAUGAUUUACAGAAUAAUUUUACAAAAGGAGUCACUCUAUCAAAUACGAAAAAUGUGGUUCUAGAAAAAAAAAAUGUUUUAGAAAAACAUUAUUUCAGUUAAAUUGAAUUUAUUUCAUUUAUACUGUACUUGUGUAUUUGCAAAGUAAGCUUUAGCAUUAUUCAGUAGCGAGCGAUUGGGGCUCAUAGGGAGUUUUAUGUUACAGUCAUGGCCCUGUCUAAAGGUUGUUUUCACACACAGUUUGAAAUGCUUUCCUUGUAGUUAAUAUUGCAUGUUGUUUGUAAAUCCUCCGCUUCUUUCGCUGAACAGACACUAUCCCUGCCCCACUAAACCAAGCAACCUCCUUUUACAAUGCAACGCUAAAUGAAUAAUAGAUUCAUAGUGAUACAUUGUGGACUCCAGGGCCCAAGGCAUGGAGGUGUUCGGAGGUAAGCGCAUUUAAAUGAAAUAAUAAUUAACUCCAGCUGCAUUGACCAAAUCAGGGGGCAUAUAAUUUCUCAGUGAACUUUAGGAUAUUAAGUUUGUGGAGAACCGUUCCAGAUAUGUGAGGUUGAUGAUUCUGACUGUUUCAAGUGCCGUUUAACAAUUUAAACAGCUUCUGUUAAUAAUUAACAACUAAUAGCAUGCCUAGUCUUUCAGAGUUUUUAUUUUUAAUAAGUAAUGAUUAUGAUUAUAUUACUGGUAUGACCACUGUGAGAGACAGACCAUAUGUGUGGGUUGUUUGCCAUAUUUAGCUUGAAACUGAGCUGUUUUAUGAACAGUUUGGUCUGAAGCUUACUUAUUGUGUGAUUGCAGUUUUCUCUUUCCUUCAGGUAUAAGAACUGACCCAGUU
ensembl:lncRNA